rnacentral:hammerhead_ribozyme from 1 species
AUUUAGCUGGUGAGUUCAAAAUAGGACGAAACACGCGUGCUUAAA